rnacentral:tRNA from 1 species
ACCUGGAUGGCUCAGUCGGUUAAGCGUCUGACUUCAACUCAGGUCAUGAUCUCGUAGUUUGAGAGUUCAAGUCCCAUGUCAGGUU